rnacentral:rRNA from 1 species
CUCAGAUCAUGUAAGAUUUUAAUGAUCGAACAGAUCAAAAUUUUAAACUUUUGCAUUUAAAUUUUAUCUUAAUCCAACAUCGAGGUCGCAAACUUUUUUUUUUAUUUGAACUAAAAAAAAAUAUUACGCUGUUAUCCCUAAGGUAAUUUUUUCUUAUAAUCAUUAUUUAUGGAUCAUUUAAUCAUUUAUUUAUGUUUAUUUUUUAAAAAAAGUUAAUUUAAUUUUUCUAUCACCCCAAUAUAAUAAUUAAUUUUAUCUUAAUAAAAAUUUUUAUAUAAUUUUAAAAUAAAAAUAAAUAUAAAACUCUAUAGGGUCUUCUCGUCUUUUAAAAUUAAUUUAGCUUUUUAACUAAAAAAUAAACUUCUAAAAAUAAAUAAGAGACAGUUUAUAUUUCAUCAAAUCUUUCAUACAAGUUUCCAAUUAAAAAACUAUUGAUUAUGCUACCUUUGUACAGUCAUUAUACUGCAGCCCUUUAAUAUUUAUCAGUGGGCAGAUUAGACUUUAAAUUAUACCCAAAAAGACAUGUUUUUG